rnacentral:sRNA from 2 species
UCAGCCGUCUUUGGGGAGUAGCCUUCCUUCCGCCCUGGAAGGAGAACGCGUCAACAUCCUCGGCUUGUCUGCCGUGGCGCGUUCGACCGCGAGUUUCACGCAGUCGGUUUGGCGAGACCAUUGAUGCAUCGUGUCGUUCCUGGUCGGACGGCGCGCG